rnacentral:rRNA from 1 species
GACGAACGCUGGCGGCGUGCCUAAUACAUGCAAGUUGAGCGCUGAAGGUUGGUACUUGUACCGACUGGAUGAGCAGCGAACGGGUGAGUAACGCGUGGGGAAUCUGCCUUUGAGCGGGGGACAACAUCGGGAAACGAAUGCUAAUACCGCAUAAAAACUUUAAACACAAGGUUUAAGUUUGAAAGAUGCAAUUGCAUCACUCAAAGAUGAUCCCGCGUUGUAUUAGCUAGUUGGGAAGGUAAAGGCCUACCAAGGCAACCGUACAUAGCCGCCCUGAGAGGUGGAUGGGCCACUUGGGAAUUGAGAAACGGCCAAGACCCCUACGGGAGGAAGCAGUAGGGAACCUCGCGCAAUGGGCAAAAGCUUGACGGAGCAACGCCGCGGGGUUGAUGAAGUUUUUCGGAUCGAAAAACUUUGUGAUUAGGGAAAACGUAAUGUGUAAGUAAAUACGCACGAAGUGACGGUACCUACUCAGAAAGCCACGGCUAACUACGUG